ACCUAAUAUAAUAGACCUAUUGCAUACAGUAUAAAAAAAAUAUAGAAAAAUAGACCAAAACACAAAAACUUAUGUUGUACUGUUACACCACUAUCCUAUAAAAUGCCCCAAAAAUGACAAAUGUAAAACAAUUCAAACAAAACUAAUGGCCUAAUUUAUGUACAAAAAAAUAAUGAAAAACAAAUAUGUAACGCCUCCUCAAAAGGACCACCACUGAAUUACAAGCUCCUGACUUGGGACAGGCACUCACAUACAGGUUGUGGCGGGAUCCCAACCCUCCCUUAACCUGGGACUGUGGUUUGGGCUUUGCAUAUUGUUGAAAGCGUACAGUGAGCUAUAGUUGAUAACAUUUGUGUCAUUUGGUCUCCUGUGGAGAGUUGGCGAAUAGUCAAUCACCGACUGUGCAAGGGCUGUAUAGCCAGUCAAGGUCAUUAAAAACUUCGAUUUGUUUGAUUGUCAAUUAAACCACAUCUUUUUUAUACAUGUAUUACCCAUAACAACUGAACCAUGAAAAUGAGGUCAAGGUCAGAUGACACCUGCCAGUUGGACAUCUAUACCUUACAAUCCUU
rnacentral:lncRNA from 1 species